rnacentral:rRNA from 1 species
UACGAAGGGUGCAAACGUUGCUCGGAAUCAUUGGGCGUAAAGCGCACGUAGGCGGCUUUGCAAGUCGGAUGUGAAAUCCCUCGGCUCAACCAAGGAAGUGCAUCCGAAACUGCAGAGCUUGAGUACUUAAGAGGAUCGCGGAAUUCCCGGUGUAGAGGUGAAAUUCGUAGAUAUCGGGAGGAACACCAGUGGCGAAGGCGGCGAUCUGGGAAGAUACUGACGCUGAGGAGCGAAAGCCAGGGGAGCAAACGGG